rnacentral:rRNA from 1 species
AGACCCGAAACCCGGUGAUCUAGCCAUGGGCAGGUUGAAGGUUGGGUAACACUAACUGGAGGACCGAACCGACUAAUGUUGAAAAAUUAGCGGAUGACCUGUGGCUGGGGGUGAAAGGCCAAUCAAACCGGGAGAUAGCUGGUUCUCCCCGAAAGCUAUUUAGGUAGCGCCUCGUGAAUUCAUCUCCGGGGGUAGAGCACUGUUUCGGCUAGGGGGCCAUCCCGGCUUACCAACCCGAUGCAAACUGCGAAUACCGGAGAAUGUUAUCACGGGAGACACACGGCGGGUGCUAACGUCCGUCGUGAAGAGGGAAACAACCCAGACCGCCAGCUAAGGUCCCAAAGUCAUGGUUAAGUGGGAAACGAUGUGGGAAGGCCCAGACAGCCAGGAUGUUGGCUUAGAAGCAGCCAUCAUUUAAAGAAAGCGUAAUAGCUCACUGGUCGAGUCGGCCUGCGCGGAAGAUGUAACGGGGCUAAACCAUGCACCGAAGCUGCGGCAGCGAACGUAUCACUUAAAGCGAUUCAGCGGGUUACGAUUGACGGAGCGAAGCGACGUCAAAGCGUAUACAAAGUCGAGUCGGUUUAAGGAUACGUUCGUUGGGUAGGGGAGCGUUCUGUAAGCCUGUGAAGGUGUGUCGUGAGGCAUGCUGGAGGUAUCAGAAGUGCGAAUGCUGACAUAAGUAACGAUAAAGCGGGUGAAAAGCCCGCUCGCCGGAAGACCAAGGGUUCCUGUCCAACGUUAAUCGGGGCAGGGUGAGUCGACCCCUAAGGCGAGGCCGAAAGGCGUAGUCGAUGGGAAACGGGUUAAUAUUCCCGUACUUGGUGUUACUGCGAAGGGGGGACGGAGAAGGCUAUGUUGGCCGGGCGACGGUUGUCCCGGUUUAAGCGUGUAGGUGUGUGUUCCAGGUAAAUCCGGUUCACUUUAACACUGAGGCGUGACGACGAGGCACUACGGUGCUGAAGCAACAAAUGCCCUGCUUCCAGGAAAAGCCUCUAAGCAUCAGGUAACAUCAAAUCGUACCCCAAACCGACACAGGUGGUCAGGUAGAGAAUACCAAGGCGCUUGAGAGAACUCGGGUGAAGGAACUAGGCAAAAUGGUGCCGUAACUUCGGGAGAAGGCACGCUGACACGUAGGUGAAGUGAUUUACUCAUGGAGCUGAAGUCAGUCGAAGAUACCAGCUGGCUGCAACUGUUUAUUAAAAACACAGCACUGUGCAAACACGAAAGUGGACGUAUACGGUGUGACGCCUGCCCGGUGCCGGAAGGUUAAUUGAUGGGGUCAGCGCAAGCGAAGCUCCUGAUCGAAGCCCCGGUAAACGGCGGCCGUAACUAUAACGGUCCUAAGGUAGCGAAAUUCCUUGUCGGGUAAGUUCCGACCUGCACGAAUGGCGUAAUGAUGGCCAGGCUGUCUCCACCCGAGACUCAGUGAAAUUGAACUCGCUGUGAAGAUGCAGUGUACCCGCGGCAAGACGGAAAGACCCCGUGAACCUUUACUAUAGCUUGACACUGAACAUUGAGCCUUGAUGUGUAGGAUAGGUGGGAGGCUUUGAAGUGUGGACGCCAGUCUGCAUGGAGCCGACCUUGAAAUACCACCCUUUAAUGUUUGAUGUUCUAACGUGGACCCGUGAUCCGGGUUGCGGACAGUGUCUGGUGGGUAGUUUGACUGGGGCGGUCUCCUCCUAAAGAGUAACGGAGGAGCACGAAGGUUGGCUAAUCCUGGUCGGACAUCAGGAGGUUAGUGCAAUGGCAUAAGCCAGCUUGACUGCGAGCGUGACGGCGCGAGCAGGUGCGAAAGCAGGUCAUAGUGAUCCGGUGGUUCUGAAUGGAAGGGCCAUCGCUCAACGGAUAAAAGGUACUCCGGGGAUAACAGGCUGAUACCGCCCAAGAGUUCAUAUCGACGGCGGUGUUUGGCACCUCGAUGUCGGCUCAUCACAUCCUGGGGCUGAAGUAGGUCCCAAGGGUAUGGCUGUUCGCCAUUUAAAGUGGUACGCGAGCUGGGUUUAGAACGUCGUGAGACAGUUCGGUCCCUAUCUGCCGUGGGCGCUGGAGAACUGAGGGGGGCUGCUCCUAGUACGAGAGGACCGGAGUGGACGCAUCACUGGUGUUCGGGUUGUCAUGCCAAUGGCACUGCCCGGUAGCUAAAUGCGGAAGAGAUAAGUGCUGAAAGCAUCUAAGCACGAAACUUGCCCCGAG